GCUUCAGUUUUCUCUUCAUUUGUCGCAUAAAUCUUUAAGCCUUUUACUAAAGAUUUCCGUGGAGAAGAACACUACUUGAGUAAUCUGUAUUUUGGGGGAGCUCUGCUCACAGCAGAACU